GGGUUGGGGCAACCCAGCAACCGGCGAACGGGUGCGUAACACGUAAGCGACCUGCCCUGGAGUGGGGGAUAGCCGGCCCAACGGCCGGGUAAUACCGCAUACGACGAUUGGGGGGCAUUCCCUGGUCGUGAAACCUGCGGGGCUCUGGGAGGGGCUUGCGGCCUAUCAGCUAGUUGGCGGGGUAACGGCCCACCAAGGCGAUGACGGGUAGCUGGUCUGAGAGGAUGGCCAGCCACAUUGGGACUGAGAGACGGCCCAGACUCCUACGGGAGGCAGCAGUGGGGAAUCUUGCGCAAUGGCCGAAAGGCUGACGCAGCGACGCCGCGUGGAGGAUGACGCCCUUCGGGGUGUAAACUCCUGUUGCCCGGGACGAACGAGUGGUUUCGACCACUGUGACGGUACCGGGUGAGGAAGCACCGGCUAACUCUGUGCCAGCAGCCGCGGUAAUACAGAGGGUGCGAGCGUUGUCCGGAAUCACUGGGCGUAAAGGGCGCGUAGGCGGCUGGGUAAGCGUGUGGUGAAAGUCCGGGGCUCAACCCCGGAUCGGCCAUGCGAACUGUCCAGCUGGAGCACGGUAGAGGCACAUGGAAUUCCGGGUGUAGCGGUGGAAUGCGUAGAGAUCCGGAAGAACACCGGUGGCGAAGGCGGUGUGCUGGGCCGUAGCUGACGCUGAGGCGCGACAGCGUGGGGAGCAAACAGGAUUAGAUACCCUGGUAGUCCACGCCGUAAACGAUGGGCACUAGGUCCUUGGGGGAGCGACCCCG
rnacentral:rRNA from 1 species